rnacentral:rRNA from 1 species
ACGCUCGACACCUACGGGAGGCAGCAGUGGGGAAUAUUGCACAAUGGGGGAAACCCUGAUGCAGCGACGCCGCGUGAAGGAAGAAGUAUUUCGGUAUGUAAACUUCUAUCAGCAGGGAAGAAGAAAGUGACGGUACCUGACUAAGAAGCCCCGGCUAACUACGUGCCUGCAGCCGCGGUAAUCUGAGCGGGCUGGCAAGGC